rnacentral:snoRNA from 1 species
AAUCCAUGUAUCGGACAUUACGGAAGUAAUUUUUUAAAUUGUUCCCAAGCUUCAUAUAUCAAUCCAUCCUCUGAUUGCCUAAAAGAUGUGAUGUCAUUUCUAACAUU